rnacentral:misc_RNA from 1 species
CCACCAGAGCUCUUCCGCCACGACAGCAGAGUCAGCUAACCUGCGCCGGGUACGGUAACUCCGAUACACCUUCUGCAGCUUCACAGCCGCACUGUCAGAGCACGCACCUCCCGACACUUCCACCACAGGCGAAUUCCCGGUGGCAUCCAUCACACCAACCUCAUCAUUCAACACCGGCAUUUCAAAUUCCUCACAUUUCCGAUCACGGAACUCCGAAGACUGAAGGCCAUCGAAUUUUCGAGAAUCAUCCGCCGGAGGCGGCAAGUCAGGAGAAUCAUGAGGUAGGAAAUCUCGAGAAAUGUCAAUUUUAUCAAGAGAGUAAGGGAAAGGAGAAGCUGAAGCAUGGGUUUCAACCUCCAUAUUUGAAGAAGCCAGAGAACGAGAAAGGGCGUUGUGGGUUUGGAUUCUGGGAGUUCGAUACAUAUAUG